rnacentral:rRNA from 1 species
UGGGGAAUUUUGGACAAUGGGCGAAAGCCUGAUCCAGCAAUGCCGCGUGUGUGAAGAAGGCCUUCGGGUUGUAAAGCACUUUUGUCCGGAAAGAAAUCCUUGGCUCUAAUACAGUCGGGGGAUGACGGUACCGGAAGAAUAAGCACCGGCUAACUACGUGCCAGCAGCCGCGGUAAUACGUAGGGUGCAAGCGUUAAUCGGAAUUACUGGGCGUAAAGCGUGCGCAGGCGGUUUGCUAAGACCGAUGUGAAAUCCCCGGGCUCAACCUGGGAACUGCAUUGGUGACUGGCAGGCUAGAGUAUGGCAGAGGGGGGUAGAAUUCCACGUGUAGCAGUGAAAUGCGUAGAGAUGUGGAGGAAUACCGAUGGCGAAGGCAGCCCCCUGGGCCAAUACUGACGCUCAUGCACGAAAAGCGUGGGGAGCAAACAGGAUUAGAUACCCUGGUAGUCCACGCCCUAAACGAUGUCAACUAGUUGUUGGGGAUUCAUUUCCUUAGUAACGUAGCUAACGCGUGAAGUUGACCGCCUGGGGAGUACGGUCGCAAGAUUAAAACUCAAAGGAAUUGACGGGGUCAUAGCUGUUUCC